GCCUAGCAGCACGCGCUCCUCACCAUUGUGCUCCCCCUCACCGCCCAGACCCAGCCCCGCGUUGAUGCGCGACACCGCCAGCUACCCGCGCCCCUGCUCCACAGCCGCCAGGCCUGGCCAGACCUGCUGCGGCCGCCAUCGCCGCCUCACUUGGCCGCUGCGGCGGCGGCGGCGGCUUUGCCGCCAGCAGCACCUCCUGCGCCUGGCGGCGUUAGCAGCAGCCGCGCACUGUUAUCCUCCUCAAACUUCUCACGUCCUGCGGCAAACAUCCGCCUCAUCACCGUGCGUGGGGAGGACGGCUUGCCAUGGCCAGCUGCGUUGCGCAGGCCGCCCAAGCGGCGCAGCUGGAUUGAUGGCGGUGAACGUGGCGUUGAGAAGUGGACGUUGGGUACCACCCGGAAUUACGUGGUUGAUCCCGCCCCAGCGCCAGCCCCUAUACACCGUCCGGAGUCGUCGUCUGUUCUAGGCACAAGCUCAACACAUUGCUUCGCCGCGCUGGCGAGUGCCAAGGAUGGCCCUGAUACACCAUGGGGGCAUGUCGCACACGUGGAAGGCACUGUAAUUGUUGUGGCAGGUGUGGCAGGGGCACAGGCAGAACGACUCAACUGUGCCGGCACGUACGCAUCGACUUCAGGCGAGCGCGGAUUGAUUGAGAGCGGGGGGUGGGGGAGUCCGGGGAGACCUGUUCGACGUUGGGAGAGAUUCACAGUCGGAGUGGAUGUGCGAGAAUACGCGAGGGUAAAUUGGACGGUGGCCCGACGUCGGGGCACCAUCCGCACACGACAAGGCAGGUGUUGACGGUAUAGUUAUGCCGCGCCCCGUUUCGGAAGCCGGUGUCCAAGGCGCCCCGCAGCCCCAGCAGCCCUCAUGCGGCCGAGCGUGGGGAAGUUGGAAAUCCGAAGCUUCGUUCGCCACUCUCUAGCUCAUUUACAAUGCCUGCGCCUAUUCUCCUCGCUUUUACCUGAAAGUCAUAUAUGGGCAAGCAAACAAGUUCGACAGAAGCGAAAUCUUGAUUGCCUAUAGCCCGACCGCUGAUAGCAGAUUGAUUU
rnacentral:lncRNA from 1 species